UUUACAAAAUUUUACAGAAGCUUUUCCUUGGUUCUCUCUGAUGCCUUCUUUUUCUUCUAUAUCCUUGUUUUCUCUUUAUCUCUCUUCUUCACCAAAUUCCUGGAAGAUGUUACAAGGCCGGCUUCCCUCAAUCUGUCAUGGUUUAUCGUUUGGCCUCUCCUCCUAACAGGCCAAUUUUCUAUUCUUUCUGCCCACCGAUCCCAGUACAAAGAAGCCCAGCAAGCACCUCUUCUGUAUCGUUCUUCGUCAACCUGUACGGCACGCAUCCGAGCGGAGCCACGUACUCCACCUGAUGGAUGGGACGGACGUCCUUGCCGCUGCCAGCUCUAUAAGUUUCCCCUGCUCCUUUCCUUUGAACCCUAGUCCCCAGCUGCAUCCUCCUUCCAGCGCCGCCGCUUCAUCUUCCUUUGCCUUCGUCCUACUCGCUUGCAUCGCUGCGGCCGCUUGUCCGUCGCUCGAACCCCGUUGUCCAUCCCCGACGGCACAACUCCGGCUUCUACCGAACCAAGACGUCUCCGUGGCGCUGCACCAGCAUGCCCCUGCUCCCGGCUGCGUCCGCUUCGUCUCCGUUCACGCACACGCACUUGCGUGCCCGUCGCCGGCCUUCUCCGGUCGCACCACGACGUCGGCCUCUACAUCAACACCGGCAGCCGCUCGUGAAGGCCAGCUCGCCAAGAUCUCCACCUGCUCGUUGUCGUCUACCCCGGCCACGCCUUCUCCUUCCUCGUCGCCGGCAGCAUCCUCCGUAUUCUCCACCUCGUCGAGCACCACCAGGCAUUUGCUUCUUCCCGGAUAGGAUCACGAAGUGGUGAUGUGAGUUACGACGAGUUCUCCGACAAGUUCUUCUGCAGCUUUUCACAGGCGAGCCCACCCCUUCACCUAUUUUACUUUUACAUGCUCUUUUGAUCUAUUGCUAUCCUUAUGUUGCGAUUCUGUUGUGUCACGUGUCCUAUCCACCUGUUACCUAUAUGUCCGAGAUACACCUCCUCGCCCUACCUAUUGUUUGUUGUUUGCCAGCUUUGCGAGUCGUAGGCGAGUUUAGGGUCUUGUUGAUAUCUCGAGAUGUUCGGGAUAUCUUGUUGGGAGGUUAUCACAUGCUAUAUCAUUUGUUGGAGAUAAUCACACUUUACUUUAUUGUUAACAACUAAAAUUGUAAGCAGAGGCAUCUGUGAGCCCCUUUGCGAAAGCAUCGGAACUUUGACUUGCUAAUGUCCCCUAGGACCCGAGUUCUUGUUAUCUGUUCCGAGAUUGAGCGCUCUACCCGUACGUGGGGGAAUGGGACCCCCAUCACCCACUACCUUUCCUCGAGUCUGUUUAUUGGGAGCCACAACCUUGGUUUUAUUUGCCCAUAUGCACGAUAUGCACGAUUUACUUCCUGUUGCCUUCGGGUGUUUAUUUCUGUACUGUACUCAUAACGCGGGACUCCUUAUCCUUGGCCGGUCGUUAGUGCCCGCCUUGGAAGCCGUCGCAAACCUCUGGGUCCGUAUCGAAGUACGGCCGAACUUCGUCACGGGUAGCUUAGUUGGGUGGCUCCCAUUAAACUUUCUCUUGCAUUGGGAACGGUCUUGAUGUGAGACUCCACCUGUAGUAAGUGGGUUCGAGCAUGCGUAUGGUUACAUUUGGGCAACCCCUGCAGGGUGUACAUCUUAUCGAUAAGCCGUGUCCGCGGUUAUGGACAACUUGGAAUUGUAUGGCUUGAUCAUAGAACAACUUACACCUUAUACUUGUUGUUAAUAAUCUGAUAAUAACUUGCGUAGUAAUAUAGCAUUACUACAACCGAUACCUAAUAAAACUUGUCCACCGUUGAGUGCCUUUUACAUUGCCUCUUCGCAAUUGUUGAAGGGGAUAUGUGUAAUCGGCUGGGUUAUGUUUGUGUAGUAUUUAUCUGUUACCUUGUGCACUCUCUUAUCUUCUCUGAGUAGACGGAUGUUGUAGCGUGUCUCUAUUGGAUAGUAGCUUUGCUGCCGCUAAACUCCACAUAUAGUCGGGUGAAGUUUAUACCGCCCACCAGCGAGCAUAGCUGGUCUUGUCUCGCAAGUACGUGCCAAUGGUACUUACCCUCGCCUUCCUUUCUUUUUGUCUCCUCCCCCUUUUGUCGGCAACCGAUGGCCCGACUUUGACAGGUACGAGAUGAUGACGUUAGCAAGGUUACCCUUCCGGCUUGGCCUGGGCAGGGUUAUGGACGCCACUGGUUAUCUUCAGGACUCUUAGUCCAAUUUGUAUCUUGUCCGUACUCGGAUGUAUUUGAUCUUAUGUAUGAUUUGGAUCUUUUUAUGUAUCUAUUUGUAUCUUGGCUCGUUGGAGUCGUUGUUGUAAUAUA